GCCAGACUCCUACGGGAGGCAGCAGUGGGGAAUAUUGCACAAUGGGGGAAACCCUGAUGCAGCGACGCCGCGUGAGUGAAGAAGUAUUUCGGUAUGUAAAGCUCUAUCAGCAGGAACGAGACAAGACGGUACCUGACUAAGAAGCCCCGGCUAACUACGUGCCAGCAGCCGCGGUAAUACGUAGGGGGCAAGCGUUAUCCGGAAUCACUGGGUGUAAAGGGAGCGUAGACGGCUGUGCAAGCCUGAAGUGAAAGGCGGGGGCCCAACCCCUGGACUGCUUUGGGAACUGUACGGCUGGAGUGCAGGAGAGGUAAGUGGAAUUCCUAGUGUAGCGGUGAAAUGCGUAGAUAUUAGGAGGAACACCAGUGGCGAAGGCGGCUUACUGGACUGUAACUGACGUUGAGGCUCGAAAGCGUGGGGAGCAAACAGGAUUAGAUACCCCUGUA
rnacentral:rRNA from 1 species